rnacentral:rRNA from 2 species
AACCAGAAAGUCACGGCUAACUACGUGCCAGCAGCCGCGGUAAUACGUAGGUGGCAAGCGUUAUCCGGAUUUAUUGGGCGUAAAGAGAGUGCAGGCGGUUUUCUAAGUCUGAUGUGAAAGCCUUCGGCUUAACCGGAGAAGUGCAUCGGAAACUGGAUAACUUGAGUGCAGAAGAGGGUAGUGGAACUCCAUGUGUAGCGGUGGAAUGCGUAGAUAUAUGGAAGAACACCAGUGGCGAAGGCGGCUACCUGGUCUGCAACUGACGCUGAGACUCGAAAGCAUGGGUAGCGAACAGGAUUAGAUACCCUGGUAGUCCAUGCCGUAAACGAUGAGUGCUAGGUGUUGGAGGGUUUCCGCCCUUCAGUGCCGGAGCUAACGCAUUAAGCACUCCGCCUGGGGAGUACGACCGCAAGGUUGAAACUCAAAGGAAUUGACGGGGGCCCGCACAAGCGGUGGAGCAUGUGGUUUAAUUCGAAGCUACGCGAAGAACCUUACCAGGUCUUGACAUCUUGCGCCAACCCUAGAGAUAGGGCGUUUCCUUCGGGAACGCAAUGACAGGUGGUGCAUGGUCGUCGUCAGCUCGUGUCGUGAGAUGUUGGGUUAAGUCCCGCAACGAGCGCAACCCUUGUUACUAGUUGCCAGCAUUAAGUUGGGCACUCUAGUGAGACUGCCGGUGACAAACCGGAGGAAGGUGGGGACGACGUCAGAUCAUCAUGCCCCUUAUGACCUGGGCUACACACGUGCUACAAUGGACGGUACAACGAGUCGCGAACUCGCGAGGGCAAGCAAAUCUCUUAAAACCGUUCUCAGUUCGGACUGCAGGCUGCAACUCGCCUGCACGAAGUCGGAAUCGCUAGUAAUCGCGGAUCAGCAUGCCGCGGUGAAUACGUUCCCGGGCCUUGUACACACCGCCCGUCACACCAUGAGAGUUUGUAACACCCAAAGUCGGUGGGGUAACCUUUAGGAGCCAGCCGCCU